AUAGGAUAAUGAAUAUGGUGUUUGAUCAUAGUAUGUAAACAAUUUGUGUAUUAUGAAUAAUGUACCACUAGGGUACUUAUAAACCAGGUAUAAAUGAGUUAUUGUCAUCUCAUAUUAAUAAUGUACCACUAGGGUACGUAUAAACCAGGUAUAAAUGAGUUAUUGUCAUCUCAUAUUAAUAAUGUACCACUAGGGUACGUAUAAACCAGGUAUAAAUGAGUUAUUGUCAUCUCAUAUUAAUAAUGUACCACUAGGGUACUUAUAAACCAGGUAUAAAUGAGUUAUUGUCAUCUCAUAUUAAUAAUGUACCACUAGGGUACUUAUAAACCAGGUAUAAAUGAGUUAUUGUCAUCUCAUAUUAAUAAUGUACCACUAGGGUACUUAUAAACCAGGUAUAAAUGAGUUAUUGUCAUCUCAUAUUAAUAAUGUACCACUAGGGUACGUAUAAACCAGGUAUAAAUUAGUUAUUGUCAUCUCAUAUUAAUAAUGUACCACUAGGGUACUUAUAAACCAGGUAUAAAUGAGUUAUUGUCAUCUCAUAUUAAUAAUGUACCACUAGGGUACGUAUAAACCAGGUAUAAAUGAGUUAUUGUCAUCUCAUAUUAAUAAUGUACCACUAGGGUACGUAUAAACCAGGUAUAAAUGAGUUAUUGUCAUCUCAUAUUAAUAAUGUACCACUAGGGUACGUAUAAACCAGGUAUAAAUGAGUUAUUGUCAUCUCAUAUUAAUAAUGUACCACUAGGGUACGUAUAAACCAGGUAUAAAUGAGUUAUUGUCAUCUCAUAUUAAUAAUGUACCACUAGGGUACGUAUAAACCAGGUAUAAAUGAGUUAUUGUCAUCUCAUAUUAAUAAUGUACCACUAGGGUACUUAUAAACCAGGUAUAAAUGAGUUAUUGUCAUCUCAUAUUAAUAAUGUACCACUAGGGUACUUAUAAACCAGGUAUAAAUUAGUUAUUGUCAUCUCAUAUUAAUAAUGUACCACUAGGGUACUUAUAAACCAGGUAUAAAUUAGUUAUUGUCAUCUCAUAUUAAUAAUGUACCACUAGGGUACUUAUAAACCAGGUAUAAAUGAGUUAUUGUCAUCUCAUAUUAAUAAUGUACCACUAGGGUACUUAUAAACCAGGUAUAAAUUAGUUAUUGUCAUCUCAUAUUAAUAAUGUACCACUAGGGUACUUAUAAACCAGGUAUAAAUGAGUUAUUGUCAUCUCAUAUUAAUAAUGUACCACUAGGGUACUUAUAAACCAGGUAUAAAUUAGUUAUUGUCAUCUCAUAUUAAUAAUGUACCACUAGGGUACUUAUAAACCAGGUAUAAAUGAGUUAUUGUCAUCUCAUAUUAAUAAUGUAUGACUAGGGUACUUAUAAACCAGGUAUAAAUUAGUUAUUGUCAUCUCAUAUUAAUAAUGUAUGACUAGGGUACUUAUAAACCUGGUAUAAAUUAGUUAUUGUCAUCUCAUAUUAAUAAUGUACCACUAGGGUACUUAUAAACCAGGUAUAAAUUAGUUAUUGUCAUCUCAUAUUAAUAAUGUACCACUAGGGUACGUAUAAACCAGGUAUAAAUGAGUUAUUGUCAUCUCAUAUUAAUAAUGUACCACUAGGGUACGUAUAAACCAGGUAUAAAUUAGUUAUUGUCAUCUCAUAUUAAUAAUGUACCACUAGGGUACUUAUAAACCAGGUAUAAAUUAGUUAUUGUCAUCUCAUAUUAAUAAUGUACCACUAGGGUACUUAUAAACCUGGUAUAAAUUAGUUAUUGUCAUCUCAUAUUAAUAAUGUACCACUAGGGUACUUAUAAACCAGUUAUAAAUGAGUUAUUGUCAUCUCAUAAGAUUAUUUAUAAAGUAUUUGUUAUUUUAUUUAGUCUUACCUUUAUUUAACUAGGCAAGUCAGUAGAGAACAAAUUCUUAUUUCAAAUGACGGUGUAUGAACAGUGGGUGAACUGCCUUGUUUUGGGGGCAGAAUGACAGAUUUUUACCUUGCCAGCUCGGGGAUUCGAUCUUGCAAUCUUUCGGUUACUAGUCCAACGCUCUAACAACUAGUCUCCCUGCCCCAAGUUAACGGUUGAUUAAUGGUUUGACUCACCAUUUAUACACAUAUUUACUGUAUAUGUGUCAUAAAUGGUAUAUUUAUUGAUUGUUAAUGAGUGCAGUUGUAAAUGUGAGUAUAUGCACUUACUAAUACCUCAGUUGGUAAUUAAUGUAGAGCCUUUAAAACUAUGUACUAACUCUUCAUAAAUGAUUUGAAUCCCAUAAUAACCCUAAAGCGCUGUACACCAGAGGUUGGAACCGGUUCAGGGAUGUCUUUUUCUGAGGAACAGAUUCAGAACCACGGAUGAAAGUGAUAUCUAGUGGUCUGGACCAUAAACUUUAUUAUAAAAGUAUGGGAACCGGUUAAUAACAUUAUGUUAUGUUCAAUCCCACAAUAAAGACAACAAAGCACACUUUGUCACUCAGAUAUGUA